rnacentral:rRNA from 1 species
GACGAACGCUGGCGGCGUGCCUAACACAUGCAAGUCAACUUGACUGAAGGAGCAAUCUGACAGUAGAGUGGCGCAAGGGUGCGUAACGCGUAAGUAACUUGCCCCAAGGUAAGGAAUAACGUCGAGAAAUCGGCGCUAAUACCUCAUAAUGCAGCGGAUCCGCAUGGAUAUGUUGUUAAAGGUUUACCGCCUUGGGAUAGGCUUGCGUCUGAUUAGCUAGUUGGUGUAGUAACGGCACACCAAGGCUACGAUCAGUAACUGGUCUGAGAGGAUGAUCAGUCACACUGGAACUGAGACACGGUCCAGACUCCUACGGGAGGCAGCAGUGAGGAAUAUUGGGCAAUGCUCGAAAGAGUGACCCAGCAACGCCGCGUGGAGGGAUGAAGGUAUUCUAUAUCGUAAACUCCUGUGAGAGCAGACGAAAGAACAGAUUAUUAAAUCUGGAUGACUGUAUGCUCAGAGG